rnacentral:lncRNA from 1 species
GUGCUAUUUGAGAUUAGAUUUUUGUUAUUUAUGAUAUUGUUGGAUGAAGGUUCCAUGUUGUAGAGGAUUGUUCAUUUCUAUUCUUCUGCUGUUAAUUGGGAUAUGUGGAUUGUAAGGCCAAAUGGAAACUUUUGCAUUGAAGCAUCUGUGAUCAAAUGAAAAAGUUUUUGCCAAUGUUGUCAACUUCAAUGGAUAUAACUCAGCAAAAACAUUGACCACCAUUCUCAACCCCUUAAAAUGCUUGAAUUACACCCCCCUCACCUCUUAUGUUAAAAUAUACACUCACCUCCCCUUCAAAUUCAAAACAUAUUAGAAAAAAUUUCACUCCCCUCCUUCAAGAGAAGUUUGAAUUAUUUUCUCCUCCCCUUUUAUGUUAAAUCUACACUUUACUUCCUCAAUAAUUAUUUAUUUUCUGUAAUCAUCUCAAUUACUUUGUGUAAUAAAAUCAAAAUUGCAAACUC